CACAGAUCACGUGAGUCGCAAGCAACUGUAAGCGUAUCGCCGCAAAGUGGGUGUUGUAAACUCAGUUCUGAAAAAAUAGUCUGCAAUAGGAGUGCUAAUGUAAUAGAGUUUCGCCCUUUUGAACCUCAAUUUUCAGAGUUUCAAAACUUUUCACACAUGCACACCAGUUUUCAAUCACCAUUUACAAAGUUUCAAACCUGGAAAACAAACUAAUAUGCUGGGAGAACACUGACAAAUUUGAAACUCUGAUUGUUCUGAAGAAAAACUCAAACAACAAUGUUUGCAGAGAUUUUUUUUACAUUUUGCAAGAUUGCAAAUCUUAGUUUUCAGUCUUGCAAAACUUUUUUUUUUGAGUUUUCAAACACUUAGUUUCAACCUUUCAGAACUUUAUUUUCAGUUUUGAAUCAAGGCUAGAUAUUAAUCCCAUAUGUAUCGAUACAGUAUUGCCAUGGCAAUAUCACAAUACUAUGCCCCCGAUAUUUCCCCCCACCCCUUCUGAGAAGUAGCAACCUUUUACCAUUAUUUCUAAUGGAACCAGACUUUUUGCAACCAGGGGACUCGCCCCGUGCUGGCCGUUAUUGAGAAUGCAGGUGUAAAUUCCAUCUGGAAGGUUUUGUCCGGCCGCUCUGCUACCUCAUCCCUUCAUCUACAUAGAUGCACAUGAGACGCUGUGGAGCGACAAGCUGCUCAACAUGAUUGUAGCUGUCAUCAACUCCACACAGCUGCAGGAGCUGAUGUGUCAUGAUGAUGGGGAGCCCGGUGAUGUUCAGGAAGGACUCUGUGCUCAGCAUCCUCAAUGAGACACUCUCAGAGGACACCUGUCCUCGCAUCUUUGUCCAAGAGAGGUGAGGACAGACCAAGACAGACAGGUGAGGACUGUCUCUGGGUACCUGAACAGCGGUUGUCUCAGUCUUCAGUUUCAGCAGUAAACUGGCUCGGCACACCCUGGAACAGAUCCUGGAGUUCAUGGACAACCUGAGGCUGAGCAACACCAAGAACAGCUGUCACUACACAGGCUUAUUGAUUGCUUCAGGAGGUAAAGCAACCUGUUUGCCUGGGCAGAGGAGUACGAGGACUCCCAGACCAAGCCUCCCAAGUCUUCGGCCUCCUCACUUCCACCAACCACCAAUAAGGAGGCGAGCGCCUCAGUAUAUAGCCCCAGCUCCACCUGGCACUGUGUGAGGACAACCUGAAUCUGCGUCUCAUUCUCUGAUUGGUCUGUUUCGAAACCACACAGAAAUUUGAUAUUGUCUGAUUUGUGAAACCGGAAGCAGCUUUGCGUCUUCACCAAGGUUUGAAAAGUGAAGCCGAAAACCUGCAUUCUCUGUAACAGCCAGCAGGCAUUGUUAACAUUGUCCAAUGGCAAUUUUGUAGACAUCACUCAACACUAAUUUGAAUAGUGAUUUACUCUUCAAGUAACUAUGUGACUGCAUUUCCUUUGUGUGUUUCUGGUAAGUCAUGUUGGGUUAUAAAUUUCAUUCAUAGUUUUCUUAAAUUUGACCAGUUGAAACCUGCAGAAACUUUUUAUUCAGUUAUCUGUCUACCUGACUUAACAAUUUGCAUUUUGUGGGACUUAUUUUAGACUUUAUUUGCUUAAAACUCUACAUUUAAAGCUCCCUUUUAUAUUAAGUAAAAGUGCUGCUGAUGGAAUAAAGUUAUGCAUAGUCUCUUUUUCCUCAACACACUAAAGUAGUAAAAGGAAAUUUUAUUUAGCUCAAGUUAUUACUUAAUACCAAGAAAUCUCAUUAAGGAUCUGGACAUGGAGAAUGUUCAACAUUAUUGCAAAAAUGAAAACAAAUUGAAUUAAUUGACUGAUCAGAUAAUUAACCAGCAAUUUUGAUAAUCAGUCUAUUCAGCUUUAUGCACGAUGUGCCUUAUUUUGUGUCAAUGUAGAAAUGACAGUUGUUUAAGGUUUUGAUACUAAUAAAGAGAAAUUGAAUUGUAGUAAUGCAGUUGUAUUUUUCAGGACUAUCUGAAAAUGGGCAUUUUGUAAACGUCAAGCUUACUAGUAGAAAUUUUGUUGAGUGAGUUUCCAUUAGUAUUUGAGUCUAGCACAAUUGUAGUAUAAGUUGUGCACAAUUACAUUUAUUGAGUAAAUUAGUGGAAUUGUUAAGCAUCAAUUAAUGUAAUUUAGUAUUGUGAGGCCACUCUGUGGGAGUGAUACCUCACCGCUGUUAACCAUCUUUGUUUUGUUGAGGUGAUUGCUGAUCGGGUGGACCUUUGAGUCGGUAGAUAAAGCUCCACUUGGGCAAACUACUGGGGCUUCUGCCUUCUCUGCAACCCAGACGUCCACUGUGGCCUAACCAUCCUGACUGCCAUAUUUUGCUUUGAGUUAUUUAUGUUACAGCGACAAACCUUGCACAA